rnacentral:rRNA from 1 species
GAUGAACGCUGGCGGUGUGCCUAAUACAUGCAAGUCGAGCGAACAUACGAGGAGGUUGCUCCUCUGACGUUAGCGCCGGACGGGUGAGUAACACUUGGAUAACCUACCUAUAAGACUGGGAUAACUUAGGGAAACCGGAGCGAGUACCGGGUAAUAGAUUGAACCGCAUGGUUCAAUAGUGAAAGAGGGGUUUGCUGUCACUUAUAGAUUGAUCCGCCCCGCAUUAGCUAGUUGGUAAGGUAACUGCAUACUAAGGAAACGAAUCGUACUCAACCUGAGAGGGUGAUCGGCCACACUGGAACUGAGACACGGUCCAGACUCAUACGGGAGGCAGCAGUAGGGAAUCUUCCGCCAUGGGCGAAGGCCUGACGGAGCAACGCCGCGUGAGUGAUGAAGGUCUUCGGAUGGUAAAACACUGUUAUUAGGGAAGAAAAAAUGCUUAAGUAACUAUGCACGUCUUGACGGUACCUAAGCAGAAAGCCACGGCUAACUACGUG